rnacentral:lncRNA from 1 species
UCAUUGUCCAUUCAAUACUGGAAGAAAAAGAAGCAAGCCUACAACAUUAAAGAUCUUGUGCAACAUUCUUCAGGAGUGAGCAAAGGCUCAAAAGAAAGGUACUAAAGAAAUAUUUUGGAGUAUAAGUUUAUCGAAAAAAACCCAAAAAACCCAAAAAAUCCGAGAAAAAUCGAGAUUGGAAAAUCCGACUUUUGUUAGUUUGGUUUGAUCUAUAGAUUUAAAACCCGAUAUAUUUGGUUUGAUUUAGUUUUGAUAAAAACCGAAUCAACCCGGUUCAUGUACACCCCUAGUACUAAUAGUAAAGGAGAAGAAGAAAUUAGGUUGUUUGAGAAAGUAAAUGUCAUUUAGCAGUCUGAUAGUAGGCUAUAACUAUGUAGUUUGGCCACUAUUUUCACUCUAAAUUGGCUGCACUUCACUGAUGUUUGAGCGCUAAAUGAUACUAAAUUGCUCUGAUUGAGUAUUUUUAUACUUUGUAGGAGCAAUUUCGGGCUACAAUGAGGUUAAGGAGUAUUUUGAGAUAAUAUGGAGCGUUGAAGGCCAAGUAAAGGCUUAUGGAGUAAAUUGGGAGUUUGUUCGAGGAUCGAAGGAGGUUAGCGCAUUUAAAAAAAGAAGAACAAAGAAGAGUGCAAAAAAUCUCCUAGGUGCGCGGCCGCGCACCGACCGUGCACUGGGCCGCGCAAGUC